rnacentral:rRNA from 1 species
UUUCGGGGUUGGUCUGGCAGGUUCCUACAUGCAAGUCCCGUCACUGGCGGUAUCGGUCGUGGCGCACGGCGGAGUAACGCGUGGAUUAUCUGCCUUUUGGUUCGGAGCACCCCGGGAAACUGGGGCUAAUACCGGAUGGUUCCUUCGGGAUAAUGAUUUAUCGGUAAAGAUGAGCCGCGUCCGAUUAGCUAGUUGGUGGGGUACCGUCCCCACAAGAAAACCAUCACUACCGGGCGCGCCAGUCUUGAAAACAUAUUUCACAAAUUGGACUAACCUUCUAUUCCUGCCAACAGCGCCACGGACGUAUCAUCGUCAACGGGGGCAUCCAUGAUAAACAAAAGCAGCAGUACCCAGGUGAUGGGAGUUCCCGGUCGAGGGAUACGAUCUAAAUCACGAAAUCGGAUUGAAGUACGGUUCACAACGAUCCCUGAAAAAAAAGGAAUCCGUCAAAUAACAACAUAUAAAUAGCGCAAAAAAUUUUUCCUUAUUAUAUCCUUAUCUUAGUAUUCUUACUACCGUAACUUAUUUCUUUUCUCUUGAAGUUAAUUUAACUGAAUUAACUGUAAUUCACAUUUUCUA